rnacentral:rRNA from 1 species
AAUCAACGCUGGCGGCGUGCCUAACACAUGCAAGUCGAACGCGAAAGGGGGCUUCGGCUCCUGAGUAGAGUGGCGUCCGGGUGAGUAACACGUAGGUAAUCUGCCUUCGGGUGGGGAAUAACCAGUACGAAAGAUUGGCUAAUACCGCAUAAUGCAGCGGCACCUAAUGGUGAUUAGUUGUUAAAGCGGGGGAUCGCAAGACCUCGCGCCUGAAGAGGAGCCUGCGGCAGAUUAGCUAGUUGGUGAGGUAACGGCUCACCAAGCCUGUGAUCUGUAGCUGGUCUGAGAGGACGAUCAGCCACAUUGGGACUGAGACACGGCCCAAACUCCUACGGGAGGCAGCAGUGGGAAUCUUGCGCAAUGGGCGAAAGCCUGACGCAGCCAUGCCGCGUGAAUGAUGAAGGUCUUAGG